rnacentral:rRNA from 1 species
CAUGAAGCCGGAAUUGCUAGUAAUGGCAGGUCAGCAUACUGCCGUGAAUACGUUCCCGGGCCUUGUACACACCGCCCGUCACACCAUGAGAGUUGGGAAUACCCGAAGCCUGUGAGCUAACAUUUAUGAGGCAGCAGUCGAAGGUAGAAUCAAUGAUUGGGGUGAAGUCGUAACAAGGUACC